GUGAUUCAUAAUAACUCGUCGAAUCGCAUGGCCUUGUGCGGCGAUGCUUCAUUCAAAUAUCUGCCCUAUCAACUUUCGAUGGUAGGAUAGAGGCCUACCAUGGGUUCAACGGGUAACGGGGGGAAUAAGGGUUCGAUUCCGGAGAGGGAGCCUGAGAAACGGUACCACAUCCAAGGAAGGCAGCAGGCGCCGCAAAUUACCCAAUCCCGACACGGGGAGGUAGUGACAAUAAAUAACAAUAUAGGGCUUUCUAGUCUUGUAAUUGGCAUGAGUACAAUUUAAAUCCCUUAACGAGGAACAAUUGGAGGGCAAGUCUGGUGCCAGCAGCCGCGGUAAUUCCAGCUCCAAUAGCGUAUAUUAAAGUUGUUGCAGUUAAAAAGCUCGUAGUUGAAUUUUAGGCUUGGUUGGACGGUCUGCCUUAGGGUUUGUACUGUCCUGGCUGGGUCUUACCUUCUGGUAAACUGUCGUGUCGUUUAUUCGGCGCAGCAGGGAACCAGGACUUUUACUUUGAAAAAAUUCAGAGUGUUUAAAAGCAGGGCUUCUCGCUUGAAUACAUUAGCAU
rnacentral:rRNA from 1 species